rnacentral:rRNA from 1 species
GACGGGGGGGGCAAGCGUUGUUCGGAAUUACUGGGCGUAAAGGGCGCGUAGGCGGUUCGUUAAGUCCUGUGUGAAAUCCCCCGGCUCAACUGGGGAACUGCACAGGAAACUAGCGGGCUUGAGUUCGGGAGAGGGAAGCGGAAUUCCGGGUGUAGCGGUGAAAUGCGUAGAUAUCCGGAGGAACACCGGUGGCGAAGGCGGCUUCCUGGACCGACACUGACGCUGAGGCGCGAAAGCUAGGGGAGCAAACGGG